AUCAUCAAAACUUAAUAAGGUUCAUUGUGAAACACAUUUUGUUCCAACAAUCUCCCCCUUUUUGAUGAUGACAAACAAUAGUAUUUAAAAUGUUCAAUUGUUGUUGAUCUAAUUAAUAAGUUGACUACUGGGACAGAGGUUUGUAAGCUCCCCCUGAGUCUAAUAGAUCUUUAAGGUGAGGUUUGUAAGCUCCCCCUAAGUUCUAUUCUUAUUAAUUAAAUUUCAAUAAAAUACUUAUAAAAUCAAAUCAGAAGUAUUUAAAAGAAAUUUAGAGUAGGGCUCAGUGCCUUAAAAAAUACUAUACAUUUACUCCCCCUUUUGUCAUCAACAAAAAGAAUAGAAACAAAAGAAAGAGUAUCAGAGCAAACAG
rnacentral:lncRNA from 1 species